GAUGAACGCUAGCGGCAGGCUUAAUACAUGCAAGUCGAGGGGCAGCACGGUUAGCAAUAACUGGUGGCGACCGGCGCACGGGUGCGUAACACGUAUACAAUCUACCUUAAACAGGGGGAUAGCCUUUCGAAAGAGAGAUUAAUACCCCGUAAUAAAUUGAACGGCAUCGUUUGAUUUUGAAAGCUCCGGCGGUUUGAGAUGAGUAUGCGUCUGAUUAGCUAGUUGGUGAGGUAACGGCUCACCAAGGCGACGAUCAGUAGGGGAUCUGAGAGGACUAACCCCCCACACUGGUACUGAGACACGGGACCAGACUCCUACGGGAGGCAGCAGUAAGGAUAUUGGUCAAUGGAGGCAACUCUGAACCAGCCAUGCCGCGUGCAGGAUGACGGCCCUAU
rnacentral:rRNA from 1 species